rfam:Deltaproteobacteria bacterium RIFCSPLOWO2_01_FTLL_45_74 rifcsplowo2_01_scaffold_29, whole genome shotgun sequence.
UCUGGUGGCUAUACCAAGAGGGCUACACCCGAUCCCAUUCCGAACUCGGAAGUUAAGCCUCUUAGGGCCGAUGGUACUACAGGCCAUAGUCUGUGGGAGAGUAGGUCGUCGCCAGAU